GAUGAACGCUGGCGGCGUGCCUAAUACAUGCAAGUCGAGCGAACAGACGAGGAGCUUGCUCCUCUGACGUUAGCGGCGGACGGGUGAGUAACAUGUGGAUAACCUACCUAUAAGACUGGGAUAACUUCGGGAAACCGGAGCUAAUACCGGAUAAUAUAUUGAACCGCAUGGUUCAAUAGUGAAAGACGGUUUUGCUGUCACUUAUAGAUGGAUCCGCGCCGCAUUAGCUAGUUGGUAAGGUAACGGCUUACCAAGGCAACGAUGCGUAGCCGACCUGAGAGGGUGAUCGGCCACACUGGAACUGAGACACGGUCCAGACUCCUACGGGAGGCAGCAGUAGGGAAUCUUCCGCAAUGGGCGAAAGCCUGAAGGAGCAACGCCGCGUGAGUGAUGAAGGUCUUCGGAUCGUAAAACUCUGUUAUUAGGGAAGAACAAAUGUGUAAGUAACUAUGCACGUCUUGACGGUACCUAAUCAGAAAGCCACGGCUAACUACGUG
rnacentral:rRNA from 1 species